rfam:Streptococcus sp. DD13 genomic scaffold scaffold00001, whole genome shotgun sequence.
CGUUGGAACCAUUCGAAACAACACAGCAAGUUAAAAUAAGGCAGUGAUUUUUGAUCCAGUCCGUACACAACUUGUAAAAGGGAACACCGAUUCGGUGUUUUUUUU